AUACGUAGGGGGCGAGCGUUGUCCGGAAUGAUUGGGCGUAAAGGGCGCGUAGGCGGCCGCUUAAGUCUGGAGUGAAAGUCCUGUUUUCAAGAUGGGAAUUGCUUUGGAUACUGGGGGGCUUGAGUGCAGGAGAGGUUAUCGGAAUUCCCGGUGUAGCGGUGAAAUGCGUAGAGAUCGGGAGGAACACCAGUGGCGAAGGCGGGUAACUGGACUGCAACUGACGCUGAGGCGCGAAAGUGUGGGGAGCAAACAGGAUUAGAUACCCUGGUAGUCCACACUGUAAACGAUGAAUGCUAGGUGUAAGAGGUAUCGACCCCUUUUGUGCCGGAGUCAACGCAAUAAGCAUUCCGCCUGGGGAGUACGGCCGCAAGGUUGAAACUCAAAUGAAUUGACGGGG
rnacentral:rRNA from 1 species